UCCACUAAACAGUUAGUUUCAUUUGGUCUAAAAUGUUUAGUCACUGUUUCCUCCUGCCCUCAACCAGACUUUGCAAAUUUGUGUUUUCUUACUUCCUUUUUUAUGAUCUAAUCACUGUUUGGUUGGUGGCGUCCGUCAGGCUGGCAGGCAGCAGAUGGAGGCUGACAUCUCAGUAUGGAGGAAGGAGACGAGCUGUCAGAUAGUUUAUCCUGCAGCCUUGUCCUCCACUAACAACCAGCUCACCACAGGCCUCAUUCAUCCGCCUCGUCAGGCUGCAGGCAGCAGCUGGCAGCUCGUCAGUCUCCAUACAGAGGAGACAGUGGAACCAAACAGAUUGCUGUAGAAUUCCUCAAAGAGUCAUCUCUCUCUCUGCUGUCCUAAAGUUCAGUAUGCCCACAAAGAGACAAAACAUUUUUAACAUCUCCACAAUAUAAAAAGAACCCCACACCCAUUACCGGAGGUAUGCUGAGUUUAAAACUGCAAAAACAACUUCUCAAGUACAAGUCAUCAAAAUAAUAGAAUCUACAGGGAAAAAAAGACCUGAGUAGCAAGACAAUAGCAUGACUUAUCGGCAGCCAUCUCCAGUGGCAAUACCCGCACUUUCCACCUACGUUGUUUGGCAUCUGUGGCCAGCUGAGUAUAUUUUUGCAGACCACAUCUUCCCAGGCGUGGUUCCCACACAGGAGUGAAGCGCCCAAAGAAAGAAGUUAAUGAAGUUGAGUUUCCCUUUGAAAUGCGGGAGCAGAGCCUCCCCAGUUUCUACCUUAUCAGAGUCACUGAGAAAGCUGGUUGGGAAUCUUGCCCAAAGACAUUUUGAUGGACACACUGGCAGUUGUUUGGAUCUCAUCUGUGAUAGUUCAGACUUGCCCUACAGCGUUGGAUCCUGUCUGUCUGCAGCACUGCUGUGCUUGCUGAAGGAGGAGAAGAAGUGCUACUCGGACAAGAAUGAAAGCACUCGGCUCAGACUGGGUGUAUCUGCCCGAACACAGUGAUGAGUUUGAUCCCCACGCCGCCUGCUUGCAUGCGUUCCUUCACCUUUCAUCCCCCAACUCAUUCUACAGAGACGUUACCUUUCCAUCCCCUCCGUCCCCAGGACUUUUCCUCACAUCUGUAACGGCCCAGUGAGCGUGCCAACCAGCAGGGGACAACGCGAUGCACUGAAGGUGACAUCUACACAGUACAACCUGACGCACUGUGAACAAGGGUCCAGAGGUGGAAGGGCUGCAUGGGUCACGUCUGAUGGUCGGUUCAGUGAAACCAGACGGUUUUGUUCCAGAGGGAGAAAGAAGAGAAGAAA